GGGUGGUAAUGCCGGAUGCUCCGGUUGGAUGCAUGUCCUUCCGGGAAAGGUUCCAUCGGUAUGGGAUGGGGUCGCGUCCUAUCAGCUUGAUGGCGGGGUAACGGCCCACCAUGGCUUCGACGGGUAGCCGGCCUGAGAGGGCGACCGGCCACAUUGGGACUGAGAUACGGCCCAGACUCCUACGGGAGGCAGCAGUGGGGAAUAUUGCACAAUGGGCGCAAGCCUGAUGCAGCGACGCCGCGUGCGGGAUGGAGGCCUUCGGGUUGUAAACCGCUUUUGAUCGGGAGCAAGCCCUUCGGGGUGAGUGUACCUUUCGAAUAAGCACCGGCUAACUACGUGCCAGCAGCCGCGGUAAUACGUAGGGUGCAAGCGUUAUCCGGAAUUAUUGGGCGUAAAGGGCUCGUAGGCGGUUCGUCGCGUCCGGUGUGAAAGCCCAUCGCUUAACGGUGGGUCUGCGCCGGGUACGGGCGGGCUGGAGUGCGGUAGGGGAGACUGGAAUUCCCGGUGUAACGGUGGAAUGUGUAGAUAUCGGGAAAGAACACCA
rnacentral:rRNA from 1 species